UAUAUAUUGCAAAAACACCACGUCUCUUCAAUUAUGUAGAGAAUGUCGACAUAUUGAACAUAAAGCAAAACUACAUGGACAAAAAUCACAGACUUCUGUAUGCAUGGUACAAUCAUAGAGCUAUGAAAAGCACAGAACUACAACUUUAAUUACCUAGGAUUCCGUCCGAUAAUUACUAGAACCAGCAAGUCUGCAGUGAACACUAAUGCAUGAAGAGAAGUUUUAUCAGCCACGCAUAUAAAUUGAAUGGGUCCUUGAAAGAUAACAUUGAAAAAAGAUCAUGGACAUCAACUUGCAGCCUAUGAGAAGAACUGAUUGGAGAGUGAAGGUCCGGGUAAAAAGAAUGUGGAGACAGAUUAAUCACAAUGUUGAAACAGUGGGAAUAAGCUUGAUUUUUAGUCGACGAAUUGGGAGGACACAUUCAUACCUGGAUUCCUGCAGUUUACAUCAAUCUCCUGAAGAAUCAGCUUAUCGAUGGAGAAAUCUAUGACCUAAAAAUUUUUGUUGUCAUGCAACACAGUGUGAUGCAUGCAUACAGAUGCUUCAAGAAUGAUAUCUGCAUCCACUUGAAUCACAUGACAGAGAUUCUGGUGCCUGAAGGUAUCAUAUUCAUCCCGCCGCAUGUCUUUUAAUUCACUGAUUUGUCAGACAUUAUGGCUGCUACAAGCCAAACCUAAUAUUUGAUCAGUGAGUUUGUUUA